rnacentral:rRNA from 1 species
CAGAACGAACGCUGGCGGCAUGCCUAAUACAUGCAAGUCGAACGAACACUUCGGUGUUAGUGGCGCACGGGUGCGUAACGCGUGGGAAUCUGCCCUUGGGUUCGGAAUAACAGUUGGAAACGACUGCUAAUACCGGAUGAUGACGAAAGUCCAAAGAUUUAUCGCCCAGGGAUGAGCCCGCGUAGGAUUAGCUAGUUGGUGAGGUAAAGGCUCACCAAGGCGACGAUCCUUAGCUGGUCUGAGAGGAUGAUCAGCCACACGUGGGACUGAGACACGGCCCAGACCUCCGUACGGGAGCAGCAGUAGGGAUAUUGGACA